rnacentral:tRNA from 1 species
GUUCUUGUAGCUUAACUAAAGCAUGGCACUGAAGAUGCCAAGACGGCAGCCACCUUGCGCCCAAGGACA